GAUGAACGCUGGCGGCGUGCUUAACACAUGCAAGUCGAACGGGAAACCUUUUAUUGAAGCUUCGGCAGAUUUCGCUGGUUUCUAGUGGCGGACGGGUGAGUAACGCGUGGGUAACCUGCCUUAUACAGGGGGAUAACAACCAGAAAUGGUUGCUAAUACCGCAUAAGCGCACAGGACCGCAUGGUCCGGUGUGAAAAACUCCGGUGGUAUAAGAUGGACCCGCGUUGGAUUAGCUAGUUGGCAGGGUAACGGCCUACCAAGGCGACGAUCCAUAGCCGGCCGGGGAGGGGGAACGGCAACAUUGGAACGGGGACACGGCCCGGACCCCACGGGGGGGAGGCGGGGGGGAAAAUUGAACAGGGGGGAAACCCUGAUGCAGCGACGCCGCGUGAAGGAAGAAGUAUCUCGGUAUGUAAACUUCUAUCAGCAGGGAAGAUAGUGACGGUACCUGACUAAGAAGCCCCGGCUAACUACGUG
rnacentral:rRNA from 1 species